rnacentral:rRNA from 1 species
UACGGAGGGUGCAAGCGUUAAUCGGAAUUACUGGGCGUAAAGCGCGCGUAGGCGGUCUGUUAAGUCAGAUGUGAAAGCCCUGGGCUUAACCUGGGAACUGCAUUUGAAACUGGCGGACUAGAGUAUGGUAGAGGGAAGUGGAAUUCCGGGUGUAGCGGUGAAAUGCGUAGAUAUCCGGAAGAACAUCAGUGGCGAAGGCGGCUUCCUGGACCAAUACUGACGCUGAGGUGCGAAAGCGUGGGGAGCAAACAGGAUUAGAUACCCCCGUA